AAAGAUAUGAUGUCAUAUUCCCCAAGUUCAAAAAAGGAGAAUAUUCUGUUCGAGAAGUCAAAGUCAACUGCACAUAUGGUUACAUUGACAAAUUAAUGAAAGUGGUCAUAACUUCAGCAGAGGAUCAGACCAUGAACUUCAGUGGUAUCACGCUGAACAAUGUUCCUCCUCCACUUUGCAGUGCUUAUGAAAGACCCAAUAAAGAGACUGCUAUUCAAGAAAAACUUCCAAGAUUUUCUAGUCAUGAUGCUUUAAUAGACCAAGAUAAUGCAUGUUUAGAGAAAAAAUCCAUUGACGAGGCUUGACUGUACAUGUAUUCAAUUCAUUUAACUUGUACUUAUCAGUGAAUGUUUAUUGUUGUUUAAAUCCAGUGUAAUUUUCAGAAUUAGCUGGAAAAUUGUUUCGGAUACAAUUCACAGCACAUGAUGGUAAAACAAC